UACGUAGGGCGCAAGCGUUGUCCGGAAUUAUUGGGCGUAAAGAGCUCGUAGGCGGCUUGUUGCGUCGUCCGUGAAAACCUGUGGCUCAACUACAGGCUUGCGGUCGAUACGGGCGGGCUGGAGUUCGGUAGGGGAGACUGGAAUUCCUGGUGUAGCGGUGAAAUGCGCAGAUAUCAGGAGGAACACCGGUGGCGAAGGCGGGUCACUGGACCCGAUCUGACACUGAUGUGCGAAAGCUAGGGUAGCAAACGGG
rnacentral:rRNA from 1 species